UGGUUGGACAAAAAGUAAUCUGUCUCAGUUAUAAUAGUUGAACUUAACUUUUAAGUGAAAAGGCUUAAAUACUUUAAGGGGACGAUAAGACCCUAUAAAACUUAACAAUAAUUUGAUUAAAUUAUAAAUUGUUAGUAUAACUUGAUU
rnacentral:rRNA from 1 species